AUGAAGAGUUUGAUCCUGGCUCAGGAUGAACGCUAGCGGCAGGCCUAACACAUGCAAGUCGAGGGGCAGCGGGGAAAAGCUUGCUUUUCCGCCGGCGACCGGCGCACGGGUGCGGAACGCGUAUGGAACCUGCCCCUGUCAGGGGAAUAGCCCAGGGAAACUUGGAUUAAUGCCCCAUGGUACCAAUAUAUCGCAUGAUAUUUUGGUUAAAGAUUUAUCGGACAGGGAUGGCCAUGCGUACCAUUAGUUAGAUGGUGAGGUAACGGCUCACCAUGGCAGCGAUGGUUAGGGGCCCUGAGAGGGGGAUCCCCCACACUGGUACUGAGACACGGACCAGACUCCUACGGGAGGCAGCAGUGAGGAAUAUUGGACAAUGGUCGGGAGACUGAUCCAGCCAUGCCGCGUGCAGGAUGACUGCCCUAUGGGUUGUAAACUGCUUUUAUACGGGAAGAAACCCACCUACGUGUAGGUGGCUGACGGUACCGUAAGAAUAAGGACCGGCUAACUCCGUGCCAGCAGCCGCGGUAAUACGGAGGGUCCGAGCGUUAUCCGGAAUCAUUGGGUUUAAAGGGUCCGUAGGCGGGCCGUUAAGUCAGGGGUGAAAGUCUGCGGCUCAACCGUAGAAUUGCCUUUGAUACUGGCGGUCUUGAGUCAUGGUGGGGUUGCCGGAACAUGUGGUGUAGCGGUGAAAUGCAUAGAUAUCACAUAGAACACCGAUCGCGAAGGCAGGUGACCAACCAUGUACUGACGCUGAUGGACGAAAGCGUGGGUAGCGAACGGGAUUAGAUACCCCGGUAGUCCACGCCGUAAACGAUGGAUACUAGCUGUGGGGACUUCGGUCUCCGUGGCCAAGCGAAAGUGAUAAGUAUCCCACCUGGGGAGUACGUUCGCAAGAAUGAAACUCAAAGGAAUUGACGGGGGCCCGCACAAGCGGUGGAGCAUGUGGUUUAAUUCGAUUCAACGCGAAGAACCUUACCAGGGUUUGACAUGAUACGAAUUUCUUUGAAAGAAGAAAGUGCCGUUUGGAACGUAUACACAGGUGGUGCAUGGCUGUCGUCAGCUCGUGUCGUGAGAUGUUGGGUUAAGUCCCGCAACGAGCGCAACCCUCAUUUUUAGUUGCCUUUAUGGAACUCUAGAAAGACUGCCGGUUAUAAACCGGAGGAAGGCGGGGAUGACGUCAAGUCAGCAUGCCCCUUACACCCUGGGCUACACACGUGCUACAAUGGGUGAGACAAUGAGAUGCAACUCUGCGAAGACAAGCUAAUCUAUAAACUCACUCUAAGUUCGGAUUGUAGGCUGCAACUCGCCUGCAUGAAGUUGGAAUCGCUAGUAAUCGCUGGUCAGCUAUACAGCGGUGAAUUCGUUCCCGGGCCUUGUACACACCGCCCGUCACACCAUGGAAGCUG
rnacentral:rRNA from 1 species